rnacentral:rRNA from 1 species
GACGAACGCUGGCGGCGUGCUUAACACAUGCAAGUCGAACGGAAAGGCCCUGCUUUUGUGGGGUGCUCGAGUGGCGAACGGGUGAGUAACACGUGAGUAACCUGCCCUUGACUUUGGGAUAACUUCAGGAAACUGGGGCUAAUACCGGAUAGGAGCUCCUGCUGCAUGGUGGGGGUUGGAAAGUUUCGGCGGUUGGGGAUGGACUCGCGGCUUAUCAGCUUGUUGGUGGGGUAGUGGCUUACCAAGGCUUUGACGGGUAGCCGGCCUGAGAGGGUGACCGGCCACAUUGGGACUGAGAUACGGCCCAGACGCCUACGGGAUGCAGCAGUGGGGAAUAUUGCACAAUGGGCGGAAGCCUGAUGCAGCAACGCCGCGUGCGGGAUGACGGCCUUCGGGUUGUAAACCGCUUUCGCCUGUGACGAAGCGUGAGUGACGGUAAUGGGUAAAGAAGCACCGGCUAACUACGUG